rnacentral:rRNA from 1 species
GACGAACGCUGGCGGCGUGCUUAACACAUGCAAGUCGAACGGAAAGGCCCUGCUUUUGUGGGGUGCUCGAGUGGCGAACGGGUGAGUAACACGUGAGUAACCUGCCCUUGACUUUGGGAUAACUUCAGGAAACUGGGGCUAAUACCGGAUAGGAGCUCCUGCUGCAUGGUGGGGGUUGGAAAGUUUCGGCGGUUGGGGAUGGACUCGCGGCUUAUCAGCUUGUUGGUGGGGUAGUGGCUUACCAAGGCUUUGACGGGUAGCCGGCCUGAGAGGGUGACCGGCCACAUUGGGACUGAGAUACGGCCCAGACGCAUACGGGAGGCAGCAGUGGGGAAUAUUGCACAAUGGGCGGAAGACUGAUGCAGCAACGCCGCGUGCGGGAUGACGACCUUCGGGUUGUAAACCGCUUUCGCCUGUGACGAAGCGUGAGUGACGGUAUGGGUAAAGAAGCACCGGCUAACUACGUG